rnacentral:rRNA from 1 species
AGAACGAACGCUGGCGGCAUGCCUAACACAUGCAAGUCGAACGUGAUCCAGGCUUCGGCCUGGUGAAAGUGGCAGACGGGUGAGUAACGCGUGGGAACCUGCCCUGUGGUAGGGAAUAACCGUGGGAAACUGCGGCUAAUACCCUAUGAGUCCUUCGGGAGAAAGAUUUAUCGCCAUAGGAGGGGCCCGCGUCGGAUUAGGUAGUUGGUGGGGUAACGGCCUACCAAGCCUUCGAUCCGUAGCUGGUCUGAGAGGAUGAUCAGCCACACUGGGACUGAGAUACGGCCCAGACUCCUACGGGAGGCAGCAGUGGGGAAUAUUGGACAAUGGGGGCAACCCUGAUCCAGCAAUGCCGCGUGGAUGAUGAAGGCCUUCGGGUUGUAAAGUCCUUUCGGCGGGGAAGAUGAUGACGGUACCGCAGAAGAAGCCCCGGCUAACCUUCGCGCCAGCAGCCGC